CCAGAGGUCUAUUACAACUUAUUACAAACUAGAAUAAUAAAUUACAUUAGAAAAAUACAAAGAAAAGUACAACCAGAGGAAGCCUGAUUCUUGACUUUCUGUCUGAGUUAUGAGAUUCACCAAAUCAAAGACCAUUGAUCCAAAACCUUUCUCUAAUUUGAGUGUGUCGGAUUUCCCUAAUAGCCUCAAUGGGACUCUGGGCAGUGCUCAUACCCAAAUUGUAUCACCAGAAUAGGGACAAGUGUAGAGUGGAACUUCCAUCCCUCAAGUGUCCAAGUUCAGAGAGAGCUCAAUGGGUCCCAAGGCAAGGCUCACAGGAGUGGAGCGGAACUUAGGUCUAAGAGAGAGUGCAAGUGAAUAAAUAGAGCUUUAAGAACUAAGGAAGUAAAGAAGGGGGAAAGAAGUGCAAGGAAAUAGUUACAAAGUGAAGGAUUUCAUACAAAAGGGAUUUAGGGACUGAGAACUGCAAAAAGCCUAUGUACAUAAGCAUUAGUUGUUCUGCGUAUGCACAGCAAUAGGGGGUGUUGUUAUGCUUACAAAAUCAACCAGAAUACACGACAUAUGAUGGUAACAUAGAAUUUAUGAUCCCAGGGGAAUCAAGUUUGAAUCAUAGACUACAAUACUUAAUAUUGUCAUGCCUCAAACAAAAACAUUGGGUUAGGGGUUUAGGAUUCAUAAUAGAUUCAGAACAGGCAUAAGGGAAUUACAAUAUGCUUAGAAAAAAGUAUUGAAUUAAACACAAGCAGUAGGGAGAUAAGAAAACAAAAGUAUAAAGUAAACAUAUUGUUUGUAAUGCUGAAAUCUUAAUCAGGACAUACCAAUUCAAAGAAGCAAAAGUACAGUAAAAACAAGGUAGCAGAACUUCGAAGAUAGGUCACAGUACAAGUAACAAGAGAGAAUGAUUUUUGAAUGAGAGUGAUUUUAGAACUCAGAGUGUUCGUGUAUGUGUGUUAAUGAAAAAGCCAGGUAUUUAUAGUUUGAAAUAGGUAGAAAGUAAGGCAAGAAUCAUAGUUUAGUAGUAAUUAUGGAACUAUGCACUAAUUAAAAUCAAAUCAGUGUAAGACUUUCUAUAAUUAAAGAGUUAAAAUUAAAUGGUAGUGGCAGAAAACAUUUAAGGAAAGAAACCAAGUAGAACAUGAUGUAUAGAAUGGAUACUUAGGGGUAAGUACGUAGGUGUCCAAUUAAUGAAACAACUAUUGCAGAAUCAGUGAAGAUACCUAAUUAACCAAAUAAGGUAGGAAACACAAUAGAUUUGCAAAAUAUUGAUACAAUUGGCUCCCAGUUAAUCAAGGAGUCAAGGAUUCGAAAUUAUUGAUUUGGGAGAGAAUAACUUGGGUUCCCAUGAAUAAACAAAUAAACCAAACUAAGCAGAGGAUAAUCAAAAGUCCAAAGGGAAGUUUUCGAAUAAAUCCAGGAAAAAGGAGAAUUAGUAAAAAAAAGGAAAGAAUCAAUUACACGAGUGCAAUCAGAAUUACAAAGGGACGUUUGAAAUCAAUCAAAAAUAAAAGGCCGUUUUAGAGGGAAAUUUAGCAUAUAAAAGAGUGCACAAACAUUAGGCACGUGAGGCUAAACUCAUAAAAAAGAGAAGCAUCAUGCAAUAGCAAACACAAUGUCAGUAGCUGAAGAACUUGUCGAAACAUGGUAAUCUCAUAGGUCAAUUUCACCAACUCAGUAAUAGAAAAAAGAGAGUAUCAGAAGCAAGUAAAAGGUCAAGUAAAAAGACCUUUCUGAAAAAUAUAGUAGAGUUUCAAUGUAGCAGGAAGUCAAAAUCACAUAAAGAAAGAGAGGUUGAAACAAAAGAUUUCAAAAUUCAGUCGAGCAACAGAUGAAGCAACCUCAGAAACUCGAAUAGGUCCCAAGCAAAUUAGGGUUUUGAAACCAACUGAACUUAGAGCAUCACGAACAAGUAAAUCACAUAGAAAAUAGUCUCAAAACUGGAAUGAACCCCAAAUUUUAGGGUUUUCACCAUCAAUCGAGUAUAGAGAAGAAAAAAAAAGUAAAUUAGAUACAGAUACUAAUAAAAUAAAUUUAGAAAUCUCAAAAAGAUUAAAGCCCUUAACAUGCAAACUCAAGCGAAAGAACGAUAUAAGGAAACACAGUAUAACAUGUAGAAAAAUCAGAGAAAACUUUGAAAUAACUUAACAAAAACCUAAAUCAGAAAAGAUAAGUGAUUUUGAGGGUAAUGUUUUAGAAGAAACCAUGACAAAAAACAUUAGAAGUUUAGAGCAAACACGGAUCUAAACAGAUAUAAAAGAAAUCAGAAGAAACCCAAAGAUUAAGGUUUUAGUAGAAACCCAGAUGGUGAAAAAGGCUUGGAAAAUCUUCGAUCUAAGCAAAAAAAGUCAAGAAUCAACCUAGAAUAGCCAUGGCCAGCCAGAGCAAGGUCAAAGAUGACUGGAGACAGCCGUAAACACUGAGAUCCAAAGUCUGGGCCAAGCUUCUUCAAGGUCUGACCCUAAAAUCAUAGUACUCGAACACAUAGAAGCCAAUUGGGGGGUGGAUACAAGCCUCCGAUGGCUUUAGAAGUCAUGGAUUUGGGAGAUUUUCAGGUGGCGGCUGAAGGGGCAGCUAGGGUUUGAGAGGGGUCUAAGAGAGAAUUGGGAGAGAAUGGGG
rnacentral:lncRNA from 1 species